GCGCCAGACUCCUACGGGAGGCAGCAGUGGGGAAUAUUGCGCAAUGGGCGAAACCCUGAUGCAGCGACGCCGCGUGUGGGAAGACGGUCCUCUGGAUUGUAAACCACUGUCCCCAGGGACGAAGAUGACGGUACCUGGGGAGGAAGCUCCGGCUAACUACGUGCCAGCAGCCGCGGUAAUACGUAGGGAGCGAGCGUUGUCCGGAAUUACUGGGUGUAAAGGGAGCGUAGGCGGGACUGCAAGUUGGGUGUCAAAUCUGCCGGCUCAACCGGUAGCCGCACUCAAAACUGCAGUUCUUGAGUGAAGUAGAGGCAGGCGGAAUUCCUAGUGUAGCGGUGAAAUGCGUAGAUAUUAGGAGGAACACCAGUGGCGAAGGCGGCCUGCUGGGCUUUUACUGACGCUGAGGCUCGAAGGUGUGGGGAGCAAACAGGAUUAGAUACCCGCGUAUG
rnacentral:rRNA from 1 species